GUAGGUGGCAAGCGUUGUCCGGAAUUAUUGGGCGUAAAGCGCGCGCAGGUGGUUCUUUAAGUCUGAUGUGACAGCCCCCGGCUCAACCGGGGAGGGUCAUUGGAAACUGGGGAACUUGAGUGCAGGAGAGGAAAGUGGAAUUCCACGUGUAGCGGUGAAAUGCGUAGAUAUGUGGAGGAACACCAGUGGCGAAGGCGACUUUCUGGCCUGUAACUGACACUGAGGCGCGAAAGCGUGGGGAGCAAACAGGGAUUAGAUACCCUGGUAGUCCACGCCGUAAACGAUGAGUGCUAAGUGUUGGGGGGGUUUCCGCCCCCUCAGUGCUGCAGCUAACGCAUUAAGCACUCCGCCUGGGAGUACGGUCGCAAGACUG
rnacentral:rRNA from 1 species